GAAAAAGUAAAAUCGCUUGUCAGCAAAUAUGGACGACUACUAAAUAAAUUUGCAAUAGUUCACAAUAACAUCAAUCAUUCAAAGCCAAUGUCAAAUGAGGAAAUAACUGUUAUUGGUGAAUCUAUACAAGACUUUAUUGAUGAAUAUAGAAAUUCAGGAAAUUCAAUGACAAUAUCACCAAAGCUUCAUAUGCUUGAAGAGCAUGUGAUUCCACAACUUAAGGCUUGGAAAUUUGGGCUAGGACUAAUCAGUGAGCAAGGUGGCGAGUCCAUACAUGCAUCUUUUAAUCAACGAAAAAGAACAGUUGCAGGAUAGCAUGAUCGACUUGCUCAGUUAACUUCAAUGAUGCGCUCGCAUACAUUGCUAACCCAGCCCAACAUUCUCCAGAAAAUUGCACAACCUAAAAGAAGAAAAUUUGAGAAAGAAGAAUAAAUCUGAAAAACAAUGGAAUUUUUCAAUGAAAGUGUGCUAAGAAAUUCUUCAAAAUAAUAAUUUUAUAAUCAAAAAUCUACAUUUGACUACCAUAAUAAAACUGCAAUACAUUGUAAGUGACACUGAUAUAAAGGAACAAUAUA